rnacentral:rRNA from 1 species
AGAGUUUGAUCAUGGCUCAGGACGAACGCUGACGGUGUGCUUUAGGCAUGCAAGUCGAACGAGAAAGCCCUUCGGGGUGAGUAGAGUGGCGAACGGGUGAGUAACAUGUGGGCAACCUACCCCUCGCAGUGGGAUAACCGGAGGAAACUCCGGCUAAUACCCCGUAAGCUUUCAGGGUCGCAUGGCCCUGUAAGGAAAGGUAGCUUCGGCCAUCCGGCGAGGGAUGGGCCCGCGGUGCAUUAGCUAGUUGGUGGGGUAAUGGCCCACCAAGGCGACGAUGCGUAGCUGGUCUGAGAGGAUGAUCAGCCACACUGGGACUGAGACACGGCCCAGACUCCUACGGGAGGCAGCAGCCAGGAAUCUUGGGCAAUGGGCGAAAGCCUGACCCAGCAACACCGUGUGGGCGAUGAAGGCCUUCGGGUCGUAAAGCCCUGUUGAUAGGGACGAAGGACGAAGGGUUAAUAGCCCCUAGCCUGACGGUACCUUUCGAGGAAGCCCCGGCUAACUACGUGCCAGCAGCGGCGGUAAUUC